ACAGAUCUUCACCAUCACUGAUGUCAGACCUGAACACAGUGGGAAUUAUUACUGUGAAGCCCAGAACAGAAGAGGACGUCAUAACUCCACCUUAUAUCUGACUGUUGUGGCAGGGAAAUCAGUAUUUAUAAUGAAUAUCAUCAGGGUGAUUCUGGUGGUCCUGAUGCUGAUUCCUCUGCUUCUCUUGAGUCUGUGGACGAGG